CGAAGGUUAGCUAAUCCUGGUCGGACAUCAGGAGGUUAGUGCAAUGGCAUAAGCUAGCUUGACUGCGAGCGUGACGGCGCGAGCAGGUGCGAAAGCAGGUCAUAGUGAUCCGGUGGUUCUGAAUGGAAGGGCCAUCGCUCAACGGAUAAAAGGUACUCCGGGGAUAACAGGCUGAUACCGCCCAAGAGUUCAUAUCGACGGCGGUGUUUGGCACCUCGAUGUCGGCUCAUCACAUCCUGGGGCUGAAGUAGGUCCCAAGGGUAUGGCUGUUCGCCAUUUAAAGUGGUACGCGAGCUGGGUUUAGAACGUCGUGAGACAGUUCGGUCCCUAUCUGCCGUGGGCGCUGGAGAAUUGAGGGGGGCUGCUCCUAGUACGAGAGGACCGGAGUGGACGCAUCACUGGUGUU
rnacentral:rRNA from 1 species